CAGUCGCCACGGGAAUACGGAGGGUGCAAGCGUUAAUCGGAAUUACUGGGCGUAAAGCGCACGCAGGCGGUUUGUUAAGUCAGAUGUGAAAUCCCCGAGUUUAACUUGGGAACUGCAUUUGAAACUGGCAAGCUAGAGUCUUGUAGAGGGGGGUAGAAUUCCAGGUGUAGCGGUGUAAUGCGUAGAGAUCUGGAGGAAUACCGGUGGCGAAGGCGGCCCCCUGGACAAAGACUGACGCUCAGGUGCGAAAGCGUGGGGAGCAAACAGGACUAGAUACCCCAGUAGUCCCUGUCUCUUAUAC
rnacentral:rRNA from 1 species